AAAAAAAAAAUGUUGGAAGACAACAAGUUGUAAUGGUAAAAAUGUUGAAUCAAAGAUUACUUCAGAACCAACAAAUCAAGGGAACUAAAUGAGUACAAAGGAACUUGAGGAACCAAACAACAAAGAAUAAUGCCCAUAAGAUUUUUACCUGAGAAUCUUGUAAGCAAGGGAACCGAGUUUAAAAGGAACUAAAUACUAAAGAGAUACAUAUGCUUCAAUGGCUAUAUUGUACUAAAAUUGCUUAGGAAACCAACAAGCCUAUGG
rnacentral:misc_RNA from 1 species